UCAUCGUCAGCUCAUUUUGUAUAUGUAUGANAUUAUGAUGCGAGUUACUCUNUGUAGUAUUGCUUGUACAUAUUUAUACAUUUAUUUGCAAGAUGUUGUCGGCGUGCACUUCUCCCCUAGUAGGACGUCGCGACCCGUUGGGUGUCGGUCUACGACCCGAGUGGGAGACUUUAAUGUUU
rnacentral:rRNA from 1 species